CACGCCGUAAACUAUGGAUACUAGAUGUCGGAAGAUCUUACCCUUUCGGUGUCGUAGCUAACGCAUUAAGUAUCCCGCCUGGGAAGUACGGUCGCAAGAUUAAAACUCAAAGAAAUUGACGGGGGCCCGCACAAGCGGUGGAGUAUGUGGUUUAAUUCGACGCAACGCGAAGAACCUUAUCCUGGGCUUGACAUCUGGUGCUAUCCGGUGAAAGUCGGAGUUUCCUUCGGGAACGCCAAGACAGGUGC
rnacentral:rRNA from 1 species